GACGAACGCUGGCGGCGUGCCUAAUACAUGCAAGUAGAACGCUGAAGGAGGAGCUUGCUUCUCUGGAUGAGUUGCGAACGGGUGAGUAACGCGUAGGUAACCUGCCUGGUAGCGGGGGAUAACUAUUGGAAACGAUAGCUAAUACCGCAUAAGAGUAGAUGUCGCAUGACAUUUGCUUAAAAGGUGCAAUUGCAUCACUACCAGAUGGCCCUGCGUUGUAUUAGCUAGUUGGUGAGGUAACGGCUCACCAAGGCAACGAUACAUAGCCGACCUGAGAGGGGGAUCGGCCACACUGGGACUGAGACACGGCCCAGACUCCUACGGGAGGCAGCAGUAGGGAAUCUUCGGCAAUGGACGGAAGUCUGACCGAGCAACGCCGCGUGAGUGAAGAAGGGUUUCGGAUCGUAAAGAUCUGUUGUAAGAGAAGAACGAGUGUGAGAGUGGAAAGUUCACACUGUGACGGUAGCUGACCAGAAAGGGACGGCUAACUACGUG
rnacentral:rRNA from 1 species